rnacentral:lncRNA from 1 species
UGGCCAUCAUUGCAGAUAGAAACAACUACCACUUGCAUUGCAUAAGAUCAGCAAGGUAUAUGUCAUUGGUUCAUUUGGUACUAAGGGGGUGUUUGGCACGACUCCUUGCGAUGGAGGAGCUAGAGCCGUUUUGGACAAUCUCUGCUUUUUACUUGAAAACGACUUCUCCAAAAAAAAGCUUAGCAGGGGCAGAGCCAGAGCUGGAGAGGAGCGUGCCAAACAAGCCUUAAGAUAUACAAGCUUGCAUGUCUUUAAGAUAGCAUGUAGCAGCUGCAUACAAAGGCAACCAUGUUAAUAUCUGCGAUGUUUUGGUCAUUGCAAAAUACAUUGAUGCAAGGCGUCCCCAGCUAAGGUACUUACACUAGGAUGCUGCUGAACGUAGAAGAGUAUUGCUAGUUAAAUCUUCAAGUUCAAAUGUGCAAUGCAAGACCGAAUCUGAAGAAACGAGACGUUCGCAGCCAUAACGAGUCAGAGAAGAUGUGCCUGCAAUACUUUACCUACGAACAAGCAGACAAAUGUUUCCAACAAGAAGGCAG